rnacentral:rRNA from 1 species
AUUGAACGCUGGCGGCAGGCUUAACACAUGCAAGUCGAGCGAGCGGCGGACGGGUGAGUAAUGUCUGGGAAACUGCCUGAUGGAGGGGGCUAACUACUGGAAACGGUAGCUAAUACCGCAUACCAUCAGAUGUGCCCAGAUGGGAUUAGCUAGUAGGUGGGGUAAUGGCUCACCUAGGCGACGAGCCCUAGCUGGUCUGAGAGGAUGACCAGCAACACUGGAACUGAGACACGGUCCAGACUCCUACGGGAGGCAGCAGUGGGGAAUAUUGCACAAUGGGCGAAAGCCUGAUGCAGCCAGGCCGCGUGUGUGAAGAAGGCCUUCGGAUUGUAAAGCACUUUCAGCGGGGAGGCGUUACUCGCAGAAGAAGCACCGGCUAACUCCGUGCCAGCAGCCGCGGUAAUUC